rnacentral:rRNA from 1 species
UGCGCAGGCGGUUAUUUAAGUCAGGUGUGAAAUCCCCGGGCUUAACCUGGGAAUGGCGCUUGAGACUGGAUAGCUUGGAGUGCGGCAGAGGGAGGUGGAAUUCCACGUGUAGCAGUGAAAUGCGUAGAGAUGUGGAGGAACACCGAUGGCGAAGGCAGCCUCCUGGGCCAGCACUGACGCUCAUGCACGAAAGCGUGGGGAGCAAACA